rnacentral:lncRNA from 1 species
GAUGAAGAGUCUGGAUUUGGAUUCGCUUUGAUCGAAAUUACCCGACACAAGGUUGGGUUGAAUAAUUCUGGGUUUUGGGUAUUGGAGAUUGAUGAUUAAGGUUUUUGAUGGGAGAGAUUAUUAGGUGAAAGAGUGAUUGAAGAGAAAAAAAACCGAAAAUCUUUCAAGGAUUCUCUUAUGGAGCUUGAAGCUAAUAUUCAGUUUGCCAAUACUUUGCAAGAAAUGAAUGAUUGAUGAAGCAAGUUUCAGACCAGGGUCGAAUCAAAGCUGCUGUCCAGUUGGCUUGAGAUGACCUAGAAGGUGAAAGGAAGUUGAGAAAGCAUUCAGCCGCACUUCCGCACGGGCAAUAGGCUAGUAUAUAUAACCAGAAUAUGUCGAUGGAUAAUUCACAUUUCUAUGUGAUGUUACUGUUUUUCCUACCUGACUAGCUAGUGCAACAGAUUCAGUCAAUAUGUCCAAGUGAUCGAUUUGAUAAAUAGUUUAGGUAUAAUGUUACUGUACAAGACAACGUACUUACAUAAGCAACUAAGCAGUAUAUUCAUAUCGAAACUCUUUACAAGGUAUAAGUCUACACUUCGGUAUAGU